CAUCGAGCACUUUAUGGCGCGCUUUGCGGUUAUCCGCUGUCUAUGUUGUGCAUUGACUGUUAUGGUUCGUUCAAUGGCGAGUGCGGCGAUGCUAAGCAAAGAUGCUGUGCACGUGAUGAAGAACGACAUGUGAGGUCACGUUUCAGCGGCAGAUGUGAGAGAUCCACGCUUUUUGGGAUAACUGCGUGAAGGCAAAUAGUUCCUAGGCGUUUAAACGAGGGAAUGCAGGGUGGACGCUCAACCUCCCUCUAGAUCGCUUAGGAGGGGGUCUUGUCUCCUCAUAUCCACACAGCAAAUCCUAGGUACCGUAUUUACCCGCGUAUAAUGCGCACUUUUGUAUUCCUAAAAUGACCUCGAAAAAAGAAGUGCGUAUAAUUACGCUGAUCCUUUUGUUCUCAGUAUGAAGCGGUAAUGAAUAAGAAAGUGCGGCGACUAAAUUGUAGGUGAGAAACAGUCACAUACAGAAACAGCCUUCAUACCUGACAUGAAAUAGGACGAAGAUCGGUUGUGUUAUAACGCCCACGAUGAGAUCGGAGAUCGCCAUGUUGAAAAGCAAGUAGUUGAAUGAGGUCUUCAAUUCCUUAUUAGGAUCUUUCAAUAUAGCUAUGCAGAUGAACAGGUUGCCAGGCAACGUAAUGAUUGUCAAGAGACUGGUGACGACUGAUGUAAAGAUUGAUAAUCCAAAGGGUGCCCACACAUCCUUGCAAUGGUCUUCUCCAAAACCCAUUCCGUGUCACGUGAUAUUGGACUAUAGGAAUUGAAUAUAGCACAACAUGUUAGAAAGGACAAUAAACGGAAAUGAUAGACGGGUUUACUUUUAUUGUGAUUACGAUAGUUUAAAAAAAAAAAAAUUGAAAUGUGUAAAAUAAGCAAGGAUAUUUUCACCCAUAAUUUGUCCUCCAAUUUCGAAAGAAAAAGAUAAUAAACAUGUGGCUGACCAGGUA